rnacentral:misc_RNA from 1 species
AGUCGUAACAAGGUUUCCGUAGGUGAACCUGCGGAAGGAUCAUUAACACGUAUCCAACGUUAAAACAACCCCGUGAACUUUCAGCUUGCUCAAAGCAGCAAUCCCUGGUAAAUCAUUGUUGACCAAGGGACCUCUGCAGAUUGUGAUAUUUUAAAGCUACGGUUGAGCGAUUGCAUCUAGUGACCUGGCAUCCCCAAGUAAUCAGUGUUCUGAAAGUGUCAUUGAUUGUGUAAGGAUGGCGCAGUCACGAUCGCUGUAGGCCCACACGGCCGGCGACCGGGUCACCGGGCUCUGCUCCUUUACGACAACUACAGUCUAACUUCGCCGCGCGUGAAAUUCGCACGGCACCAAAAACCGAACAACUGUUAACAAUGGAUAUCUUGGUUCUC